AGUGAACGCUGGCGGUAGGCCUAACACAUGCAAGUCGAACGGCAGCACAGUAAGAGCUUGCUCUUACGGGUGGCGAGUGGCGGACGGGUGAGGCAUACAUCGGAAUCUACUUUUUCGUGGGGGAUAACGUAGGGAAACUUACGCUACUACCGCAUACGAUCUACGGGUGAAAGCAGGGGAUCUUCGGACCUUGCGCGAUUGAAUGAGCCGAUGUCGGAUUAGCUAGUUGGCGGGGUAAAGGCCCACCAAGGCGACGAUCCGUAGCUGGUCUGAGAGGAUGAUCAGCCACACUGGAACUGAGACACGGUCCAGACUCCUACGGGAGGCAGCAGUGGGGAAUAUUGGGCAAUGGGCGCAAGCCUGAUCCAGCAAUGCCGCGUGGGUGAAGAAGGCCUUCGGAUUGUAAAGCCCUGUUGUUGGGAAAGAAAAGCAGCAGGUUAAUACCCCGCUGUUCUGACGGUACCCAAAGAAUAAGCACCGGCUAACUUCGUG
rnacentral:rRNA from 1 species